GAUGAACGCUGGCGGCGUGCUUAACACAUGCAAGUCGAACGGAAAGGCUCCUGCUUGCAGGGGUACUCGAGUGGCGAACGGGUGAGUAACACGUGGGUGAUCUGCCCUGCACUUCGGGAUAAGCCUAGGAAACUGGGGCUAAUACCGGAUAGGACGAUGUGUUGGAUGCCAUUGUGGGAAGUUUUUCGGUGUGGGAGGAGCGCGCGGCCUAUCAGCUUGUUGGUGGGGUAAUGGCCUACCAAGGCGUCGACGGGUAGCCGGCCUGGGAGGGUGUACGGCCACAUUGGGACUGAGGUUCGGCCCAGACUCCUACGGGAGGCAGCAGUGGGGAAUAUUGCACAAUGGGCGCAAGCCUGAUGCAGCGACGCCGCGGGGGGGAUGACGGCCUUCGGGUUGUAAACCCCUUUCGCUAGGGACCAAGCGUUUUGUGACGGUACCUGGAGAAGAAGCACCGGCUAACUACGUG
rnacentral:rRNA from 1 species